rnacentral:rRNA from 1 species
UACGAAGGGGGCUAGCGUUGCUCGGAAUCACUGGGCGUAAAGGGCGUGUAGGCGGGAAGGAAAGUCAGAUGUGAAAUCCCUGGGCUCAACCCAGGAACUGCAUUUGAAACUCCCUUUCUUGAGUGUCGGAGAGGAAAGCGGAAUUCCUGGUGUAGAGGUGAAAUUCGUAGAUAUCAGGAGGAACACCGAUGGCGAAGGCAGCCCCCUGGGCCAACACUGACGCUCAGGCACGAAAGCGUGGGGAGCAAACAGG